UAAAGAAUUUCGGUAUGGGAUGGGGAUGCGUUCCAUUAGUUAGUUGGCGGGGUAACGGCCCACCAAGACAACGAUGGAUAGGGGUUCUGAGAGGAAGGUCCCCCACAUUGGAACUGAGACACGGUCCAAACUCCUACGGGAGGCAGCAGUGAGGAAUAUUGGUCAAUGGACGAGAGUCUGAACCAGCCAAGUAGCGUGAAGGAUGACUGCCCUACGGGUUGUAAACUUCUUUUAUAUGGGAAUAAAAUGUUCCACGUGUGGGAUUUUGUAUGUACCAUAUGAAUAAGGAUCGGCUAACUCCGUGCCAGCAGCCGCGGUAAUACGGAGGAUCCGAGCGUUAUCCGGAUUUAUUGGGUUUAAAGGGAGCGUAGGUGGAUUGUUAAGUCAGUUGUGAAAGUUUGCGGCUCAACCGUAAAAUUGCAGUUGAAACUGGCAGUCUUGAGUACAGUAGAGGUGGGCGGAAUUCGUGGUGUAGCGGUGAAAUGCUUAGAUAUCACGAAGAACUCCGAUUGCGAAGGCAGCUCACUGGACUGCAACUGACACUGAGGCUCGAAAGUGUGGGUAUCAAACAGGAUUAGAUACCCUGGUAGUCCACACA
rnacentral:rRNA from 1 species